GCGAGUUCAGGCGGGGAAGGACGCACAGCCAUAGCAGACAGACAGACGGCAUGGGGAGGGGGCGAGGGGAGGGGGGAGAGGGGAAGAGGGGAGAGCCAAGCGGGGCGCUGCUUCUCCCUCUCUUUCUCUCUCUCGCUCCCCCCCCCCUUUCUCUUUCGCCCGUCUUUCUCGUCACCACCCCCUCCGCUGCUGGUCUGAGGAAGCGCCAAGCAGAAGAAGCAACAGCCAAAGAAGAAGAAGAAGAAGCGGCAGCAGAAGCAGAGCGAGGCUCCCCUCAGCAAAAGGCGGGCAGGCAAAAGGCGGACAAGGGCUGUUGUACAAUAAAGUGA
rnacentral:lncRNA from 11 species